rnacentral:ncRNA from 1 species
UCUCCCUCAGGAUAGCUGGUGCUCUCGCAUGAACCAUGCAGUUUAUCCAAUUAAGCAAAUGAUUAGAGAUCUUGGGGCCCAAACAAUCUCAACCUAUUCUAAAACUUUAAAUGGGUAAGAAGCCCGGCUCACUGGCAUGGAGUUGGGCAUGGAAUGCAAGCGCCUAGUGGACCACUUUUGGUCUUGGAGGACUC